rnacentral:rRNA from 1 species
CCUACGGGAGGCAGCAGUGAGGAAUAUUGGUCAAUGGACGCGAGCCUGAACCAGCCAAGUCGCGUGAGGGAAGACGGUCCUAUGGAUUGUAAACCUCUUUUGUAGGGGAGCAAAAGGCUCCACGUGUGGCGUUCUGUGCGUACCCGAAGAAAAAGCAUCGGCUAACUCCGUGCCAGCAGCCGCGGUAAUACGGAGGAUUCGAGCGUUAUCCGGAUUUAUUGGGUUUAAAGGGAGCGUAGGUGGUUGGUUAAGUUAGAGGUGAAAUCCUGAGGCUCAACGUGGGAAUUGCAGCUGAUACUGUCCGGCUAGAGAGUAGUAGCGGUAGGCGGAAUGGAUGGUGUAGCGGUGAAAUGCUUAGAGAUCAUACAGAACACCGAUUGCGAAGGCAGCUUACCGAGCUACUACUGACGUUGAGGCACGAAAGCGUGGGGAGCAAACAGGAUUAGAUACCCUAGUAGUC